GCGUAGGCGGGAUAGUCAGUCAGGUGUGAAAUCCUAUGGCUUAACCAUAGAACUGCAUUUGAAACUACUAUUCUAGAGUGUGGGAGAGGUAGGUGGAAUUCUUGGUGUAGGGGUAAAAUCCGUAGAGAUCAAGAGGAAUACUCAUUGCGAAGGCGACCUGCUGGAACAUUACUGACGCUGAUUGCGCGAAAGCGUGGGGAGCAAACAGGAUUAGAUACCCUGGUAGUCCACGCCCUAAACGAUGGAUGCUAGUUGUUGGAGGGCUUAGUCUCUCCAGUAAUGCAGCUAACGCAUUAAGCAUCCCGCCUGGGGAGUACGGUCGCAAGAUUAAAACUCAAAGGAAUAGACGGGGACCCGCACAAGCGGUGGAGCAUGUGGUUUAAUUCGAAGAUACACGAAGAACCUUACCUAGGCUUGACAUUGAGAGAAUCCGCUAGAAAUAGUGGAGUGUCUGGCUUGCUAGACCUUGAAAACAGGUGCUGCACGGCUGUCGUCAGCUCGUGUCGUGAGAUGUUGGGUUAAGUCCCGCAACGAGCGCAACCCCCUUUCUUAGUUGCUAACAGGUUAUGCUGAGAACUCUAAGGAUACUGCCUCCGUAAGGAGGAGGAAGGUGGGGACGACGUCAAGUCAUCAUGGCCCUUACGCCUAGGGCUACACACGUGCUACAAUGGGGUGCACAAAGAGAAGCAAUACUGCGAAGUGGAGCCAAUCUUCAAAACACCUCUCAGUUCGGAUUGUAGGCUGCAACUCGCCUGCAUGAAGCUGGAAUCGCUAGUAAUCGCAAAUCAGCCAUGUUGCGGUGAAUACGUUCCCGGGUCUUGUACUCACCGCCCGUCACACCAUGGGAGUUGUGUUUGCCUUAAGUCAGGAUGCUAAAUUGGCUACUGCCCACGGCACACACAGCGACUGGGGUGAAGUCGUAACAAGGUAACCGUAGGUGAACCUGCGGUUGGAUCACCUCCUUUCUAGA
rnacentral:rRNA from 1 species